rnacentral:rRNA from 1 species
UACGUAGGGUGCGAGCGUUGUCCGGAAUUACUGGGCGUAAAGAGCUCGUAGGUGGUUUGUCGCGUUGUUCGUGAAAACUCACAGCUUAACUGUGGGCGUGCGGGCGAUACGGGCAGACUGGAGUACUGCAGGGGAGACUGGAAUUCCUGGUGUAGCGGUGAAAUGCGCAGAUAUCAGGAGGAACACCGGUGGCGAAGGCGGGUCUCUGGGCCGAUACUGACGC